rnacentral:tRNA from 1 species
GUAGCUCAAUUGGUAGAGCAGGUCCCUGUUAAGGACAAGGUUGGCGGUCCGAGUCCGCCC